UUUUGUAAGGUAUUUUAUCACAGCAACAAGAUAACUAACUAAUCCUCCUCUCAAACCACGUUCUGGUACAUCACAGGCACUGCGCAGCCACCCACGUACUUCAAGAGACGUCAGAAGCGUUCUCAGAGAUAGCUCUUCCCAGUAGCUGUGGUGUGGUGGAGGCUUCCACCCAGGGUCACUGCUGCCUGGCUUGUGCUCCUCUUGUGGUCUGGCCGGAUUUCCCUGAGGCUCUUCCUCCCUGCACAGCCCAUCCUUGUUCCACUCUCAGGUGGCAGGCUUGCACUUCAGUUUGCAUCCUCUGCCCUGCCCACCGUUCCCGUUUCCUCUCCUCUUUCAUGGAGAAUAGGAGGUAAUAUUAUAUCCUUCUGGGGUCUUUGAUGAAGUUAAGGACUGUUGCGGGAGGUCCUUCCGCUCCUUCAACCAAUAGCUGCUAAAUACCAGCCCAUUGGGGGCGUGGUCUCUCUCCCUUUAAAAAAGCGGCUACUUCCCUCCGCUCGCUCUCUUCACUUCCUGCUCCUCCGGUGACUAGACUCCCUUCCUGGUUGCGCAGAGGGCUGUUGUCUGGGAAGGUGAUCUACAGAAAAUGGGAGAUGAUGUGAUAUUUGCUUCUGUAUGGGAACAAGGAUAUUCCUUUGACCGGAAUGUGCAUUGUCAGUGAGGAAAUGGGGCUGAAGAAACCAACCCAACACGGUAGGAAGUUCCUCCUUGCUCUCUUGUCAGUUUGGAAUCCCAGAACAAUCUGAAGUGCGGAAGGAUAUAAUCAAUCACUGCAUCAAUACAGUGUGGAAGGAUACAGUCCAUCACUGCAUCAAUACAGUAUGGAAGGAUCCAGUCCAUCACUGCAUCAGUACAGUGUGGAAGGAUACAGUCCAUCACUGCAUCAAUACAGUAUAGAAGGAUAUAGUCGAUCACUGCAUCAAUACAGUGUGAAGGAUACAGUCUACCCUGUCAUCAAUACAGUGUGGAAGGAUCCAGUCCAUCACUGCAUCAAGACAUGGAGAGCAUCUACUACCACCCUCCCACCCUGGAGUCUUCAGCAGCCACACACAGCACCAGAGAAGAGCUGCCCAUGCUUUCUGGUGAGGUGUGGGAGGCUCACGUUUCUGGUUCCUGCCAGACUGACAUCUUUGUAGGAAACUACAAAUAAACGACUAGAUCAUGCAUUUGGACACGAGAGUGACAAACUGCUACAAGACUCCGGCAGAACUCUUAGACUGUCUGCUUGUGGACAAAUAACAGUCAGCAAAUUGGCAUCAGCCCAUGGCUUCUGCCCUGGAUGGCAUCCACAUGAAGAGCUGCAUCAGUUCAGCUGGAUUUGAAUACUGCUCUAAUUUAUGUUUAAGAAAGUGGUUUGUAUUAGCACACUGUGGAAUAAAACCUGUUCCUGUUUGGGUGACUGUCAUGAAUAAGUCGAGUCUCCCCUGCUUAAUUUCCUAAACUAAAUAAGUACUUAAGAUGUCCAAUUUUAACAAAAAAAUGAAAAGCAUAUAACUCUAGGUCUUAAAGACCAAAGAAACAAUCAGGAAAGUAUUUACCGUGUUAAUAAUAUUCAUUUCUUUGUACCAUUCAUAAAUUAUUGCACAGAAUCAUCAGUAUUGAUGUCAUGGAAUGUUGCAAUAAUAAGAAGGUUCAACAAAAUGGGUGAGUCUAAGAAUUAAAUGUCAGGAAACUCAUACACAGCUCUGUGAAUAUACACAAAGCUUGAGAAAAUUGUCCUCAUUUGCUGUCACUGGGAAUGUUCAAAGCUUUUCAAAAAAUAAAAAGAACUACAUAAUUCUGAGCCUGGCAUACUUCAUAAAAUGCUUGAUUUUUUUAUUGUUCCUAAUAGUUCAAAAAUCUAAUUUUCUGGGCUUAUUGCAAAAUGCCAGUUUCCUUUUGAGUAUGCAGUCUUUGUCAUCAGGCAGACACUACAAGAAAGUCAAGUAGAAAUCUUCCAGAAAAAAAAAAAACUGUUUAGCAUGAUCGAGAAUGGCAGGAUAAGGAGUAAGAAAUGAAUUUCCCCUUUCAAUCUUUCAUAAAACUGGCAACAAGUUUGUAUCAUAUUUCAUUCAAGAUUUUGAUGAAGACACAAGGGGGUUGAAAUUUUAUAUAAACUUUGAUGUUAUUAAGAAAGGUCAAAGUGACCAAUUUGAAACACAAAGUUAAGCU